GUAAUAUAUAAAAAAAUCAUGAAGUGUACAUAUAUUUCCUGCAAGGGUAUAAUGAGGAUAAGGAGAAAUUAAGGCUAUAGAUAGAAUAUACUGAAUAUAGAGAAGGACCGAGAGAGCAGCUGUCAGCUGUGCACGAUGACAUCACACGUAAGCUGAACACGGUUAACUAAAUGUGAUAACUAAAAACGAGAAUGACGCGUGUAAAAUCUACGUACCCCUAUAGAGAUGCAGUUAUCCUCGCCGCCGGAUGGGAAUUUUACGAUGAAUUUCGAGCCAGCCUUCUCCUCGGAGUCGUUCAAAGGUCGAAAUCUGCAGACUACCUUGAUACUGUCCUCCGCGGCAAUCUCACGCUCCCUCGGCGUCUCCA